AGCAGUAGCCGCGGUAAUACAGAGGGUGCGAGCGUUAAUCGGAUUUACUGGGCGUAAAGCGUGCGUAGGCGGCUUCUUAAGUCGGAUGUGAAAUCCCUGAGCUUAACUUAGGAAUUGCAUUCGAUACUGGGAAGCUAGAGUAUGGGAGAGGAUGGUAGAAUUCCAGGUGUAGCGGUGAAAUGCGUAGAGAUCUGGAGGAAUACCGAUGGCGAAGGCAGCCAUCUGGCCUAAUACUGACGCUGAGGUACGAAAGCAUGGGGAGCAAACAGGAUUAGAUACCCCCGUAGUCCCUGUCUCUUAACA
rnacentral:rRNA from 1 species